CCGAUGGCGACCGGCGCACGGGUGAGUAACACGUAUCCAACCUGCCGAUGACUCGGGGAUAGCCUUUCGAAAGAAAGAUUAAUACCCGAUGGCAUAGUUCUUCCGCAUGGUAGAACUAUUAAAGAAUUUCGGUCAUCGAUGGGGAUGCGUUCCAUUAGGUUGUUGGCGGGGUAACGGCCCACCAAGCCUUCGAUGGAUAGGGGUUCUGAGAGGAAGGUCCCCCGCAUUGGUACUGAGACACGGACCAA
rnacentral:rRNA from 1 species